GCUCAACCCCGAGCGGCCAUUGGAAACUGGGGAGCUUGAGUGCAGAAGAGGAGAGUGGAAUUCCACGUGUAGCGGUGAAAUGCGUAGAGAUGUGGAGGUACACCAGUGGCGAAGGCGACUCUCUGGUCUGUAACUGACGCUGAGGCGCGAAAGCGUGGGGAGCAAACAGGAUUAGGUACCCUGGUAGUCCACGCCGUAAACGAUGAGUGCUAGGUGUUAGGGGUUUCGAUGCCCGUAGUGCCGAAGUUAACACAUUAAGCACUCCGCCUGGGGAGUACGGCCGCAAGGCUGAAACUCAAAGGAAUUGACGGGGACCCGCACAAGCAGUGGAGCAUGUGGUUUAAUUCGAAGCAACGCGAAGAACCUUACCAGGUCUUGACAUCCUUUGACCACCCAAGAGAUUGGGCUUCCCCUUCGGGGGCAAAGUGACAGGUGGUGCAUGGUUGUCGUCAGCUCGUGUCGUGAGAUGUUGGGUUAAGUCCCGCAACGAGCGCAACCCUUGAUCUUAGUUGCCAGCAUUGAGUUGGGCACUCUAAGGUGACUGCCGGUGACAAACCGGGGGAAGGUGGGGAUGACGUCAAAUCAUCAUGCCCCUUAUGACCUGGGCUACACACGUGCUACAAUGGAUGGUACAAAG
rnacentral:rRNA from 1 species